rnacentral:rRNA from 1 species
AGAGUUUGAUCAUGGCUCAGGAUGAACGCUAGCGGGAGGCUUAACACAUGCAAGUCGAGCGGGAUUAGUAGCAAUACUAUGAGAGCGGCGCACGGGUGCGUAACGCGUAUGCAACCUACCUUAUACAAAGGGAUAGCCCAUGGAAACGUGGAUUAAUAUCUUAUAGGACUUGUUUUUCGCAUGGAAAACAAGUUAAAACUACGGUGGUAUAAGAUGGGCAUGCGUCUGAUUAGCUAGUUGGUGAGGUAACGGCUCACCAAGGCGACGAUCAGUAGGGGUUCUGAGAGGAUUACCCCCCACACUGGUACUGAGACACGGACCAGACUCCUACGGGAGGCAGCAGUGAGGAAUAUUGGUCAAUGGGCGGAAGCCUGAACCAGCCAUCCCGCGUGCAGGAUGACGGCCCUAUGGGUUGUAAACUGCUUUUCUACGCCAAGAAACCUGAUUACGUGUAAUCAGUUGACGGUAGUGUAGGAAUAAGCACCGGCUAACUCCGUGCCAGCAGCCGCGGUAAUACGGAGGGUGCAAGCGUUAUCCGGAUUCAUUGGGUUUAAAGGGUGCGCAGGUGGGAUAGUAAGUCAGUGGUGAAAUACUGCCGCUUAACGGUAGAGCUGCCAUUGAUACUGCUGUUCUUGAGUAUGGUUGAGGUAGGUGGAAUGUGUUGUGUAGCGGUGAAAUGCAUAGAUAUGACACAGAACGCCGAUUGCGAAGGC